GUGGGGAAUUUUGGACAAUGGGCGCAAGCCUGAUCCAGCAAUGCCGCGUGCAGGAAGAAGGCCUUCGGGUUGUAAACUGCUUUUGUACGGAACGAAACGGUCCUGGCUAAUAUCCGGGGCUAAUGACGGUACCGUAAGAAUAAGCACCGGCUAACUACGUGCCAGCAGCCGCGGUAAUACGUAGGGUGCGAGCGUUAAUCGGAAUUACUGGGCGUAAAGCGUGCGCAGGCGGUGCUGUAAGACAGGCGUGAAAUCCCCGGGCUCAACCUGGGAAUUGCGCUUGUGACUGCAGUGCUGGAGUGCGGCAGAGGGGGAUGGAAUUCCGCGUGUAGCAGUGAAAUGCGUAGAUAUGCGGAGGAACACCGAUGGCGAAGGCAAUCCCCUGGGCCUGCACUGACGCUCAUGCACGAAAGCGUGGGGAGCAAACAGGAUUAGAUACCCGGGUAGUCC
rnacentral:rRNA from 1 species